UCCGAGUUGUCCCCGGCAGUCUCCUUAGAGUCCCCACCAUUACGUGCUGGCAACUAAGGACAGGGGUUGCGCUCGUUGCGGCACUUAAGCCAGCACCUCACGGCACGAGCUGACGACAGCCAUGCAGCACCUGUCUCGGGACUCCGAAGAGGGGUCCUGGUUUCUCAAGACUUUCCCCGAGAUGUCAAGCCCAGGUAAGGUUCUUCGCGUUGCGUCGAAUUAAACCACAUGCUCCACCGCUUGUGCGGGCCCCCGUCAAUUCCUUUGAGUUUCAGCCUUGCGGCCGUACUCCCCAGGCGGGGCACUUAAUGCGUUAGCGCCGGCCCUCGGGGGGUCGCUCCCCCAAGUGCCUAGUGCCCAUCGUUUACGGCGUGGACUAC
rnacentral:misc_RNA from 1 species